rnacentral:ncRNA from 2 species
CUCGCUCUAACGGGGUGCCUGGCGUCAAAAACCGGGCUGAGAGGCCAAGUGGCCAACCCGAAGAACCUGAUCCGGUUUGUACCGGCGGAGGGAUUAGACGCCGAUUACGC